ensembl:lncRNA
GGAGGUCGUCAUGCCUUGACCUGCUCAGGGACCCAAUUCUCGGGAGGCUGUCACGCCUCGACCUGCCCGGGGAUUUGAUCUCCAGAAGGCUGUCACGCCUCAGCCUGCCUGGGGAUCUGCACCCUGACCCGGGGACGCCUGGCUCUAAGGUUGCAACAGUUCUGGGUAGGAUAAGCUUCAGAAAGACUCACCCCUAAGGAAGUCCACCCAUGGAAACAUAAAGAAGCCUAUUACUUGUGGGACUGUGCCCAGUCUCAACAAUAACUCAGGAGCCCAAUGAGAACCCCAUUGCCUUUCUGGAAAGGCUAAAAGAGGCCCUCCAAAAGUUUACUAAUCUGGACUUAGACUCUUAAGAGGGACAGGUGAUUUUAAAGGACAAAGUCCUGUCCCAAUGUGCAUCAGCUAUCAGAAUUAAGUUACAACAGCAGCAGGACUCUGCUGCCUCUUUAUAUGAGAUGAUCCAGACAGCCACCAAUACCUUUUAAACAGAACAGGAGAAGGAGGCUAAGGCCCAGGAGAAGGAGAGAAGGAAAGAGACAAGGCAUGCCCAGAUGCUGGCCGCCCUCCAGAGAAGCCCUAUGGCAAACCCUGAGUCCUUGAAGGACAAGGCACGAGGCAAAUGCCUAAUCUGUAGACAGGCGGGGCAUUGGGCCAAAGAGUGUCCAAACUGUGACAAGUCUCCUAGAAAUGUCACAAAUGUCAUCAACUGGGACAUUGGGCGGCACUCUGCCCUGGGGACUCAAGAGCCUCAAGGUCAAGCACCAAGCCUACCCUCAUGAUGGUUCAAGAGGACUGAAGCGGCCCGCUCCAGCCAGCCCGCCUGUCACAGAUAACCAUCAUGGGGCUGGAGCCAAGGGUGCAACUGGAUGUGGCAGAAACCUUGGACCACUGGACAAAACCUCGAGAGGGAUUGUCAAAAGAUCCUCUGACCAGUCCUGAGGAAAUCUGGUACACUGAUGGAAGCAGCAUUGUCUUAGAUGGAAAAAGAAGAGCCAGGAACAUGGAGCUGGUCAUACCCAAAUUAAACCAGUCAAGACCAUGGAUUGGGUGACUGUUCAAUAGAUGACCAUUUGACAUCAGAGGGCCAAAAACUUCACCCUCAGAUCAUGUUAAUGACACCAUUUUCUGAACAUACAUCCCAUGAAGAAGCAUGUAACCCAGAUACAUCUGUGCAGAACCCCAAUUACUUUAAGUUUUUCUUCAGUCAUCUUUCCCCACACCUCAGACCACCCUGCUUCCUUAUCCCACGAGUAUCUUGAGGCCCUCACCUUCAUGAAAUUGGAUUAAAGACUUGUUCUCUUGUCUCCGUGCUUGGCUGCCUUGUGUAUAAAGCCUUUCUCUGCUGCAUACCUUGGCGUCUCAGGAUUUGGCUUGAUGUGAGUCAGGCAAAUGAACCUGGUAUGGUUCAUAAUAUAAGGGAUGGAAAUAUCAGCUAGGAUUAGAAUCAGAUGCAUGUAACAGAAGCUGAAACAACAGUGGCUUAAAUAAGAAGUUUGUUACAUUGUUCAAGAAGUCUGGAUUAGUAUGACAGCUUCAGCAGAUCACCAGUACUCUAGUC